UAAAAGGAAAAGUUCAGUUUAGGGUUUAAAACCCUGAUGCUGACUAAAGGAAAAUUCAGUUUAGGGUUUAAAACCCUAAUGCUGAUUGCAUGGAAAAGCUCAGUUUAGAGUUUAAAACUCUAAUGUUGGCUAAAAGGAAAAGUUCAGUUUAGGGUUUAAAACCCUAAUGCUGACUAAAGGAAAAUUCAGUUUAGGGUUUAAAACCCUAAUGCUGAUUGCAUGGAAAAGCUCAGUUUAGAGUUUAGAACUCUAAUGCUGGCUGAAAGGAAAAAGUUCAGUUUAGGGUUUAAAACCCUAAUGCUGAUUGCAUGGAAAAGCUCAGUUUAGGGUUUAAAACCCUAAUGCUGAUUGCAUGGAAAAGCUCAGUUUAGAGUUUAAAACUCUAAUGCUGGCUAAAAGGAAAAAGUUC
rnacentral:lncRNA from 1 species